AUUGAACGCUGGCGGCAGGCCUAACACAUGCAAGUCGAGCGGAAGCAGGAAGAUUCUUCCUUCUUUCCGGGCGAGUCGGGGGCGUGAGAGUAAUGUCUGUGACACUGCGUGAUGGAGGGGGUUAACUACUGGAAACGGAAACUAAAACCGCCUAACGUCGGAAGAGCAGGGAUCUUGAGCUUCCGGCCUCUUUGCUGCGGCUGUGCCCAGGUGGCAUUAGCUAGUAGGUGGGGUAAAGGCCUACCGAGGCGACGAUCCGUAGCUGGUCUGAGAGGAUGAUCAGCCACACUGGAACUGAGACACGGUCCAGACUCCUACGGGAGGCAGCAGUGGGGAAUAUUGCACAAUGGGCGAAAGCCUGAUGCAGCCAUGCCGCGUGUGUGAAGAAGGUCUUCGGAUUGUAAAGCACUUUUAGUGGGGAGGAAGGGAAGUAAGUUAAUACCUUGCCGUAUUGACGUUACCAACAGAAGAAGCACCGGCUAACUUCGUG
rnacentral:rRNA from 1 species